CUCUCUUCUCUUCUCCCUUUCUCUCUCCCUCUCCUUUUCCCUUUCCCUAUCUCUCCUCUCUCUCACUCACUCUCUCUCUCCCUCUCCUUCUCCUUUCUCUCUUCUCUUUCUCUCUCUCUCUCUCUUUCUCUCUCACACACACACACACACACACACACAACUUUUUAAAUAAGAACAACCUUUUAAAUAAGAAAACUAUAGUUUUGAAUACAUAACAAAAUUAAGAAAUAAAUCUAUCAAUGACUUUUGAUCUUGCUGAAUCUACCAACUGGUCAUUCAAGAACCACUGGAGAUGGAAGAAAGAAAACUUCAUCUGUUAAAUAUCUAUGUAUUAGGCACUAUGCUGAGAGCUUUGCAAAUAUUAUCUCAUUUAAUCUUCACAACACUCCUGGGAAAUAGGUGCUCUUCUUAGUCUCAUUUUACAGUUGAGGAAACUGAAGUAAAUGGAGGUUAACUGGCUUGUUCAGGGUUAUAUAAACAGCCAUUUUGAACUCAGAUCUUCCGGACUUCAGGCUUAUAUACUCUAUCCACUGUGCCACCUAGUGGUCUCUAAUUGCUAGGGUACCCUCAGUAUCUAAUUUAUAUAUUCUCCAGUCUUCUUGAAUCUGUUAAUCCUCCUUCCUCUAACAGACAGGAAGCAACAGUGGUCUCCUUUUUUGUUUAAACCCAGUUAGUGACAGAUAACUCAAGGAUAAACAAGAAAACCAUGUCAAAGGAGUGAUUGGGGCCAGAGUGGUCAAACGCCAUCUACAAUGAUCAGUUAAACGUGUCACUUCCUCUUGCUAAAUCUCCCUUUUCUCAUCUGCGAAAUAAGGUGGCUGGAAGUGGAAUGAGUUCAAAUUCUUCUCUCUACAAGUUCUACAACACUAUAGCCUCACAACAACAACAUCUCACCAAGGGAGAAUAAACUAUUCAACUAUUCUAGAAGAAAUCCUAUGGAGAAAGAUAGCCAUCAAGAUGGGCCAGAGGAAACAGAGGCAAACAAUGUUAAAUAAAGUAGUACAAUCCCUGCAUAGAACUAGUUUUCCUCCAAUCUUUUCUUGACCUUCUCUACAAUAAUUUGGAAGUCACGGGACAGAUCUCAAAGUCAACACUCUCUCUGCAGGAAAAAGGGUAGCAUUGACACUCCCUGUAAAUAAUGUCAAGAGGUAGUGACAAGAAAUUGAUUUUAAAAUGUUAAUAGAUAUUAAUAUUAGGGAAGGAGAGAAGAGAGAAUUCAAAAUAAAUCAACCAAUGCACAAGCCCUUUCAAAGUAGUCCUUAGUAUGUGACAGUCACUAUGCAAUGUGUGGGCUUAUAAAAAUAAAGAACAAAAUACUAUCUCCUCUCAAGGAGCUUCUAUACUAAUAGAAUCAGUGUUUAGCUGCCUCUCAAGUGACAAGUGACCAAGAAUUAACAUUGAAGAAAAAGACCAGAAAUUAUUUAUUUGCAAAACUCCUAAUGGAAGAUUCAAUGGACCAUAUGUUUUUGUUUCCCAUUUGGGGCAAAAAGUACUCACUUCUGUUGAAAACAUUUUUUAAAAAAAUAUAUGAAAUACUCUAAAAAUGUAA